rnacentral:rRNA from 1 species
AUUGAACGCUGGCGGCAUGCUUUACACAUGCAAGUCGAACGGUAACGGGCCUUCGGGUGCUGACGAGUGGCGAACGGGUGAGUAAUGCAUCGGAACGUGCCCAGAGGUGGGGGAUAAUGCAGCGAAAGCUGUGCUAAUACCGCAUGUGAUCUGAGGAUGAAAGCGGGGGACCAAGCAGCAAUGUUUGGCCUCGCGCCUCUGGAGCGGCCGAUGUCAGAUUAGGUAGUUGGUGGGGUAAAGGCCUACCAAGCCGACGAUCUGUAGCUGGUCUGAGAGGACGACCAGCCACACUGGGACUGAGACACGGCCCAGACUCCUACGGGAGGCAGCAGUGGGGAAUUUUGGACAAUGGGCGCAAGCCUGAUCCAGCAAUGCCGCGUGCGGGAAGAAGGCCUUCGGGUUGUAAACCGCUUUUGUACGGAACGAAAAGGCUCUGGCUAAUACCUGGGGCUGAUGACGGUACCGUAAGAAUAAGCACCGGCUAACUACGUG